rnacentral:misc_RNA from 1 species
CUCAAAAUAUUAUCGCGCACAAAAGUUUUAAAUUACGAAAUAGUUUUACAUAGAGAAGUGAGAAAAAUUAUUUAUAAUAUAUAAUCCGCGUCAUGUAAAUAGAACGCUGGUUGUCAAAAUGCGCAAAGGCGACUUACAGUGUUGCCAACUCUUGAAAAAACUUUUUCGUACUGUCCAUUUUUUGGAACAGUCUUAUUUGG